rnacentral:rRNA from 1 species
AUUGAACGCUGGCGGCAGGCUUAACACAUGCAAGUCGAGCGGGGGAAGGUAGCUUGCUACUGGACCUAGCGGCGGACGGGUGAGUAAUGCUUAGGAAUCUGCCUAUUAGUGGGGGACAACAUCUCGAAAGGGAUGCUAAUACCACAUACGUCCUACGGGAGAAAGCAGGGGAUCUUCGGACCUUGCGCUAAUAGAUGAGCCUAAGUGGUAUUCGCUUGUUGGUGGGAUAAAGGCCUACCAAGGCGACGAUCUGUAGCGGGUCUGAGAGGAUGAUCCGCCGCACUGGCUCUGAGACCCGGCCCAGACUCCUUCGGGGGGCAGCAGGGGGGAAUAUUGGACAAUGGGGGGAACCCUGAUCCAGCCAUGCCGCGUGUGUGAAGAAGGCCUUAUGGUUGUAAAGCACUUUAAGCGAGGAGGAGGCUACUUUAGUUAAUACCUAGAGAUAGUGGACGUUACUCGCAGAAUAAGCACCGGCUAACUCUGUGCCAGCCGCCGCCGUAA